UUUGCCAUCGCCAGAUGGCUCACAACGCGCUUUGUUCUCCCGCCUUUAUAAACCCCUUGCUUCACCAGAAACUUCAUUCGAAACUUCGACUUCAAGAUAUCUCCAGACCUCGUACAGACAAACAGAAUUUUCGCAAACAUGGCGCGAGUUGCAUGCAUGAUACUUCUGCUGGUGGUAGCGGUGAUGUGUGUUACGGUACAAGCGAGUGAGGGCAACGGUCUAUUACACCACUGUCACGACGCCCAUUGUUGCGAACACCAUCCUAACGCCGAGAACUGCUGCGCUGAUGAGCAUUGUUGCCAUCACCAUAACGCCCAUAACUGCUGUGAUGACCACCAUUGUUGCCAUCACCACCCUAAUUAUGCAAACUGCUAGCACGGUCUUUUGAGAGGUUGAUAAACCACGAUGUGACAUGGAGCAAUCCACAGAAACCUGACCUACCGGAAUCGACUACACGGAAAUGGACUCUAUUUCUCUUUUACUCUCGUUGCUUAUUAAAUGUUCGUAUCGAUACGAGUAAAAAUUAAAUCGCAAAUGCAGGCAAUAACUAUGAAAA